rnacentral:lncRNA from 1 species
CCAGAACCAUAUUAUACAAUGUUGAAAUCAAGGAGUUUUUGCCUGCAUUUAUACCUGUGUACCAUGUGUAUGCUUGGUGCCCAUGGAGGCAAGAAGAGGGCAUCAGAUUCCCUGGCACUGGAGUUACAGAUUGUUGUGAGCCAUCCUCUGGAUACUUGUUGCGCCCACCGCGGCCGGCAAGGAAGACACAACACUGUCGGAUUCUUCUCAACAGCCUUUAUUGCAGGAACACCUCGAUGCUGCUGCGGGGACCCCGGGCACCCAGGGAGGUCUGCUUAUAUACUCUCAGCACAG